rnacentral:lncRNA from 1 species
UCCCUUUUGGACCGGAAGGAUGAUGGAGUCAAGAUGUAGGUGCGGAGAACCCCUAGUUCAGGCAUCCAAUAGCUGACUGUGAGCAUCAACUUAUGUGUUUGCUAGGCCCCGGAUGGACCUGGAGGGCAUCAUCCUGAGUGAGGCCAGAGAAAAGGGCAGAAAAGGAGAUAAAUAAAAGAAAAGGACAUCACAGAAGGAGCUGAAGAAACUAAAAGAUGAAGCUGUAAUAAAUCCAACACAACAUACUGCAUGAUUAAUAAAAGAGAGAGGAAAGACAGGCGUAACCCAACCUAAUUUCGAUGAAGUACUUGAUACACGUCUAAUGAAGUCUUACAAAGCGAGUUUCCUUUGGAUUGGCUUUAGAUUCCAGCACUCCAUAAAAGCUGUAAGGUUGGUAGCAGGAAACCUAUGAUCCCAGAAGAUCUUGUAAAGGAAAACUCAUCACCUGACACUCCACAGUCUCCCAAUGCUCAUUUCCAGCCUCCUCCUCCAUCCAUCUUGUCCCUUGCUGCAUGAGUAGCUUUCAUUACAGUAAACUUCCAUUACCUGUAUCUGCUUUGUAGAGACAGUACUCAUUUCAAAUUGUUCAUUAGUAAUGCUCCCUCAUAUUGCUCAAUUGAUAAUAUUUUUCUGCUCAUGAAUAUUGUUUGGGGUGAUUUGGGUUGGGUGGAAUGCAUCACAACUUUUUCCAAUUAAAACUAAUGGAAAAUUGUUUUAUUUAAUGGCUUUUCGCUAAGUGACAGGGUUUUUCGGAGACAAAUUAAAAUGGUUCAGUGAGGGAUAGUAAUAUCUAACUUACACUCCUGGUUUUAUUUCCCUUCUUCCCUGAGCUGAGCUGAGUGACAGGAGACCAGACAGUGGGGACUGCUUUCAGAGUGACUGACUUUGUUCUUUGCAUAUUUAUGAUGCCUCGGGCCUACAGCUGAAAGGAACUCAUAAAUGAACAAAGGAGAAUAGAAUGCUGACUUCUGAGAAGACGGUUGUAAAAUGCCCUUUGCAGAGAUUAUGUGUGUGUGUGCCCUGUCCACAU